rnacentral:rRNA from 1 species
UUGAACGCUGGCGGCAUGCCUUACACAUGCAAGUCGAACGGUAACAGGUUAAGCUGACGAGUGGCGAACGGGUGAGUAAUGUAUCGGAACGUGCCCAGUCGUGGGGGAUAACUGCUCGAAAGAGCAGCUAAUACCGCAUACGACCUGAGGGUGAAAGCGGGGGAUCGCAAGACCUCGCGCGAUUGGAGCGGCCGAUAUCAGAUUAGGUAGUUGGUGAGGUAAAGGCUCACCAAGCCGACGAUCUGUAGCUGGUCUGAGAGGACGACCAGCCACACUGGGACUGAGACACGGCCCAGACUCCUACGGGAGGCAGCAGUGGGGAAUUUUGGACAAAGGGCGCAAGCCUGAUCCAGCCAUGCCGCGUGCGGGAAGAAGGCCUUCGGGUUGUAAACCGCUUUUGUCAGGGAAGAAAAGGUUCUGGCUAAUACCUGGGACUCAUGACGGUACCUGAAGAAUAAGCACCGGCUAACUACGUG